rnacentral:rRNA from 1 species
UACGUAGGGGGCGAGCGUUGUCCGGAGUUACUGGGCGUAAAGCGCUUGUAGGCGGUCCACCAAGUUUGGGGUGACAGUUGCCGACUUAAUCGGCAAAGUGCCUCAAAGACUGGCGGACUUGAGGGCCACAGAGGGACAUGGAACUCCAGGUGUAGUGGUGAAAUGCGUAGAGAUCCGGAGGAACACCAAAGGCGAAGGCAGUGUCCUGGGGAGUACCUGACGCUCAGGUGCGAAAGCCAGGGGAGCGAACGGG